AUAUAUAUUUCGCUAAGCUCCGAAUCUAAAAAUACACAUCGUAGUCAAACCAAUAGAUCUCUUGCUAUACUCCGAAUCCAAAAAAGCACAUAUUGGUAAAACUAAUAGAUCCCUCGCUACAUUCAACAAUAAUUAUAACGAAAUUAAAUUGAGUAUUACAUCAAGAAACAAGGAAUAUGCAAUAGAAAAAUUGUUUAAAUUGAAACUCAGAUUCAGAUGAUCAAAAAAAUCCAGAAGUAUGAUUUGGAGGCAUCUGUGCUAGGUGCUAUAUCUAAUACGCGGCCACCAUACCAUGUGCUAUAUUUUAGCAUGGCCGCCCGAAUUGUCCACCUCUUCAUCGACAUAUGUUUCCCCCCACCCCUUUUUCGACUAUACCUAUCGUUAUCAUGAUUUAAAACCAUGACUAUACCUC